rnacentral:rRNA from 1 species
UGCAAGUCGUACGAGAACUCUUCUGCUUGCAGAAGAUAGUAAAGUGGCGCACGGGUGAGUAACGCGUGGGUAAUCUACCUCCGAAUCUGGGAUAACCCGCCGAAAGGCGAGCUAAUACCGGAUAAUAUCUUUAAACUUCGGUUUUUAAGAUCAAAGGUGGUCUCUACAUGUAAGCUACUGUUUGGAGAUGAGCCCGCGUACCAUUAGCUUGUUGGUAGGGUAAUGGCCUACCAAGGCCGCGAUGGUUAGCUGGUCUGAGAGGAUGAUCAGCCACACUGGAACUGACACACGGUCCAGACUCCUACGGGAGGCAGCAGUGAGGAAUUUUGCGCAAUGGGGGAAACCCUGACGCAGCAACGCCGCGUGAGUGAUGAAGGCUUUCGGGUCGUAAAGCUCUGUCAAGUGGGAAGAACCUGCUGGAUGCUAAUAUCAUCCGGCACUGACGGUACCACUAAAGGAAGCACCGGCUAACUCCGUGCCAGCAGCCGCGGUAAUACGGGGGGUGCAAGCGUUAUUCGGAAUUAUUGGGCGUAAAGGGCGCGUAGGCGGUCUCUAAAGUCAGAUGUGAAAGCCCGGGGCUUAACCCCGGAAGUGCAUUUGAAACUUAGGGACUUGAGUAUGGGAGAGGGAAGUGGAAUUCCUGGUGUAGCGGUGAAAUGCGUAGAUAUCAGGAGGAACACCAGUGGCGAAGGCGACUUCCUGGACCAAUACUGACGCUGAGGCGCGAAGGCGUGGGGAGCAAACAGGAUUAGAUACCCUGGUAGUCCACGCAGUAAACGGUGAACACUAG